rnacentral:rRNA from 1 species
AUACGGAGGGUCCGAGCGUUAAUCGGAAUUACUGGGCGUAAAGCGUACGUAGGUGGCUUGAUUAGUCGGAUGUGAAAGCCCUGGGCUCAACCUGGGAACUGCAUUCGAUACUGUCUGGCUAGAGUAUAGUAGAGGGAAGUGGAAUUCCGGGUGUAGCGGUGAAAUGCGUAGAUAUCCGGAGGAACACCAGUGGCGAAGGCGGCUUCCUGGACUAAUACUGACACUGAGGUACGAAAGCGUGGGGAGCAAACCGGAUUAGAAACCCGAGUAGUCC